AACGAACGCUGGCGGCGUGCCUAACACAUGCAAGUCGAACGAGAAAGGGGCUUCGGCUCCGAGUAAAGUGGCGCACGGGUGAGUAACACGUGGGUAACCUGCCUCUAAGAUUGGGAUAACUCGUCGAAAGAUGAGCUAAUACCGAAUAAGACCACAGUUCCCGCGGGAACAGGGGUCAAAGGUAGCCUCUGCUUGCAAGCUAUCACUUAGAGAUGGGCCUGCGCACCAUUAGCUAGUUGGUAGGGUAACGGCCUACCAAGGCAAAGAUGGUUAGCUGGUCUGAGAGGAUGAUCAGCCACACUGGAACUGAGACACGGUCCAGACUCCUACGGGAGGCAGCAGUGGGGAAUAUUGCGCAAUGGGCGAAAGCUUGACGCAGCAACGCCGCAUGAGUGAUGAAGGCCUUCGGGUCGUAAAGCUCUGUCGGGAGGAACGAAUGCUCCUGAGGUUAACAGCCUCGGGAGGUGACGGUACCUUCAAAGGAAGCACCGGCUAACUCUGUG
rnacentral:rRNA from 1 species